AGAGUUUGAUCCUGGCUCAGGAUGAACGCUAGCGGCAGGCCUAACACAUGCAAGUCGAGGGGUAGAACACUUCGGUGUUUGAGACCGGCGCACGGGUGCGUAACGCGUAUGCAAUCUACCUUAUACAGGGGAAUAGCCCAGAGAAAUUUGGAUUAAUGCCCCAUAGUGUUAUAGAAUCGCAUGGUUUUAUAACUAAAGUUCCAACGGUAUAAGAUGAGCAUGCGUCCCAUUAGUUAGUUGGUAAGGUAACGGCUUACCAAGACAAUGAUGGGUAGGGGUCCUGAGAGGGAGAUCCCCCACACUGGUACUGAGACACGGACCAGACUCCUACGGGAGGCAGCAGUGAGGAAUAUUGGUCAAUGGGCGCAAGCCUGAACCAGCCAUGCCGCGUGCAGGAAGAAGCAUCUAUGGUGUGUAAACUGCUUUUAUACAGGAAGAAACACCCCCACGUGUGGGGGCUUGACGGUACUGUAAGAAUAAGGACCGGCUAACUCCGUGCCAGCAGCCGCGGUAAUACGGAGGGUCCAAGCGUUAUCCGGAAUCAUUGGGUUUAAAGGGUCCGUAGGCGGUCUUAUAAGUCAGUGGUGAAAGCCCAUCGCUCAACGAUGGAACUGCCAUUGAUACUGUAAGACUUGAAUUUUUGUGAAGUAACUAGAAUAUGUAGUGUAGCGGUGAAAUGCUUAGAUAUUACAUGGAAUACCAAUUGCGAAGGCAGGUUACUAACAAGUUAUUGACGCUGAUGGACGAAAGCGUGGGGAGCGAACAGGAUUAGAUACCCUGGUAGUCCACGCCGUAAACGAUGGAUACUAGCU
rnacentral:rRNA from 1 species